UUUUUUUUUUUUUGGUUCAGGCGUUUCUUGCACUGUUCUUUUUUUUUUUUUUUUUUUGCAGGAUCGACCUCGAUUCCUCUUAUCCGCUCAUAAUAAGCCUCGGCAGCUUACCGGACAGCACUCCAUAAGUGCACUGAUUCGAACUCAACGGUAUGAGUUAUCUCUACCUGUCAAACCACUGGAUCAAGUCCACCGGAUGCCCCUCUUCUACUUGGGACUUUGCCAUCAUGUCAUCAACAUGGCAUUCGCUUUCACGAUGAGUCAUAUCAUGAAACAAAGUCACCGUAGCCCUUUG
rnacentral:lncRNA from 1 species